rnacentral:rRNA from 1 species
UAGCCCCGUAUCUGAAGAUGCUGUUAUUGUGAACUCGACGAGUAGGGCGGGAGACGUGUUAUCCUGUCUGAAUAUGGGGGGACCAUCCUCCAAGGCUAAAUACUCCUGAUUGACAGAUAGUGAACCAGUACCGUGAGGGAAAGGCGAAAAGAACCCCGGCGAGGGGAGUGAAAAAGAACCUGAAACCGUGAACGUACAAGCAGUAGGAGCCUCUUUAUGGGGUGACUGCGUACCUUUUG